AAGGAUCUCUAGGAUCCUAACAUACCCUAUUGUGAAAGUGUGCCCUAAGGAUACAGUUUACUUCAAGGACAUAAAAAAUUAGUGCACUCGAGGUAUCCCAGCCCAUGGGAUAGACUUUUUAAUUGAUAAAUAGCCCUUGGGGUAGACUUGGAUAUACAAAACACCUUGUUUGAUAAACUGUCUCAGUUCCUAGUGAUUG
rnacentral:lncRNA from 1 species